ACGACUCUCGGCAACGGAUAUCUCGGCUCACGCAUCGAUGAAGAACGUAGCAAAAUGCGAUACUUGGUGUGAAUUGCAGAAUCCCGUGAACCAUCGAGUUUUUGAACGCAAGUUGCGCCCGAAGCCUCUCGGCCGAGGGCACGUCUGCCUGGGCGUCACGC
rnacentral:rRNA from 1 species